GACGAACGCUGGCGGCGUGCUUAACACAUGCAAGUCGAACGGAAAGGCCCUGCUUUUGUGGGGUGCUCGAGUGGCGAACGGGUGAGUAACACGUGAGUAACCUGCCCUUGACUUUGGGAUAACUUCAGGAAACUGGGGCUAAUACCGGAUAGGAGCUCCUGCUGCAUGGUGGGGGUUGGAAAGUUUCGGUGGUUGGGGAUGGACUCGCGGCUUAUCAGCUUGUUGGUGGGGUAGUGGCUUACCAAGGCUUUGACGGGUAGCCGGCCUGAGAGGGUGACCGGCCACAUUGGGACUGAGAUACGGCCCAGACUCCUCCGGGAGGCAGCAGUGGGGAAUAUUGCACAAUGGGCGGAAGCCUGAUGCAGCAACGCCGCGUGCGGGAUGACGGCCUUCGGGUUGUAAACCGCUUUCGCCUGUGACGAAGCGUGAGUGACGGUAAUGGGUAAAGAAGCACCGGCUAACUACGUG
rnacentral:rRNA from 1 species